CAUCCUUCUUCUAUGGCACACUGUUAGAAGAUAUUAUUUUAAUUUUUUUAAACUUGCAUGAAAAUCAUUAGUGAUAAAAAUAACACCUCACACACUCGUGUUUCAUGCAAAUUUAUAGGCUUUUCACUUGAAUAUGCUCCCUGUGCCCUUUUCCCCUCAACUAGCCUUUCUUUAGUUCUUGAAAUCACUUAGCAACAAUUCAAAAAAAGCAACCAACUAUGCAGUGAAUUUAUAAAUUUGAUAUAAACUCCAAAAGCAAGAAAUUACAAAACUAACAAAACAAAACUUGAUGACUAAUUCACGAAUAGCAAUGCAAAUUUGUAUGAAUAAUAUGACGAUUUGAAGACACGAAAUAAAAAAAAUCAGAAAGAGCUAAAUAAUUAUGAAUUAUCAAGAACUAAGGAUUUAAUUCAAGAAAAUUCCAAAAACUCAAGAAAAUCAACUAAACUACCCCAAUUUUCAAGAAACACAAACAAGACUACUAAAAGAUUCACGAAUCAAGACUAACCAAUUUCCCAAUGAUUAAGGUUUUCUCAAACAUGUAUUCAGCCAA